GACGAACGCUGGCGGCGUGCUUAACACAUGCAAGUCGAACGGAAAGGCCCUGCUUGCAGGGUACUCGAGUUGCGAACGGGUGAGUAACACGUGGGUGAUCUGCCCUGCACUUCGGGAUAAGCCUGGGAAACUGGGUCUAAUACCGGAUAGGAGCCAUUUUUAGUGUGAUGGUUGGAAAGUUUUUUCGGUGUAGGAUGAGCUCGCGGCCUAUCAGCUUGUUGGUGGGGUAAUGGCCUACCAAGGCGGCGACGGGUAGCCGGCCUGAGAGGGUGGACGGCCACAUUGGGACUGAGAGACGGCCCAGACUCCUACGGGAGGCAGCAGUGGGGAAUAUUGCACAAUGGGCGCAAGCCUGAUGCAGCGACGCCGCGGGGGGGAUGACGGCCUUAGGGUUGUAAACUACUUUCGCUAGGGACGAAGCUUUUUGUGACGGUACCUAGAUAAGAAGCACCGGCUAACUACGUG
rnacentral:rRNA from 1 species